GAAAGAUCUGCCUUGUAUUCAGGGUUUUAUUCUUUUCAGCCUUGUUUUAUAUUUUAUUGGUCUUCAGUUGGGUUUUUCCAAAAGCAGACCCCAGUCAGGGACUAGGUGCCAGCAGUUAAUUUGGAGGUGACCCCCGAAAGCUUCAGUAGGGAGUACAAAAAGGAGCCAAGUGAAGGGAGGGAGCCACCUGUAAGGGCGAAUGACAGAGUCGGUUGAUACCAUGGGCCCCUGGGACUUAAUUGUUCUGAGGAUCCUUGGAGAAACAAUAUGAGCCCAUCUCAGAAUUGCCUCACGUGGGGGGUGAAGCAACUUGGGCAUAUAUAUGGUAUUUCAGGUCAUUCAUUAGUUGAGGUUUACCCUUAAAAGCCUGAUGUCCCUUCCUGCCCAGAGAGAGAGUCAAGUACUUCCUAUGGUGGACAAAGAUCUCAGAACAAGAGGUGCAGGGGCUUGGAGUAAGAAGGUAGAGGAGAGUGUGGGAGCUGUCACCAAACUGCAGGUGAGCUGUGAGGCGGGCUGAUGGGACAAGGGCAGGACGUUGACAAGCAUGAAGUGCAGCUAAUACCCACAGGGAAUAAUAACUAGAAUAGGACACGCUCUUCUAAGCACGUGGAGUGACCAGGUCUGGAUGCGCCACAAGACUCAAAGACACUGGAUUCAGGAGCCGACUUGGGUAUGUCUCCCUGCAUGGAUUCCAGCCUUUGGCCUCUCUGUGUUGGCUGCCUUUACCCAGUGGGACCCUGGACCCACAGAUGACCAGGCAACAGUGACAAGGAGGGACAUGCAAGGAGGACCCACAAGGUGCAUGGUGAUUCCUGCAGUAACUAUAUCCUUUGUCUGAGAGGAAACCAUCACCUCUGGUGUCAAAACUGGCAGGUGGUGGAGAUUGUGGAGUGAAAAAGUGCUUGCGUGGCCUGGAACGGGGGGACCUGGUCCGACACUAAGACCGGGACUUCACUACUUUGUAGCCAGACUGUGAGCAGAGAGAAAAUGCAGACUGAUUUUUCUAACUCAGAUCAUGUGUGUAAUGAAUCCUAUUAAUGGCUGCUGAUUUUUUUAGCAGUUACGACAUGCUGGGCACCGUGGUGUGCUUUAUAAGCCUGAACUCACUGGAUGCUCACAACACGCCCCCGAGAGAGGUAUCGGACUUGGAGAGGUUAAGUAACUUGCCCAGGUCCCAGGAACAGUACGAGCAGAACUACAGUUGGUAGCUGGGCACACCCUAAGAACUCGGGGUGACGUUCUAUAAAAUGACUGCUAAGAAUGCAUAUGUUGCAUAAAGAAGGACAAGAAGUGAACUGGUUGAAGCCUUGCUCAUAAAAUAAAAUAGAAUGCUCAUGUGAAGAGUUCGUCACUACAUUUCAGGAUGUGGUGGGCAGACACCACGUGUCUGUGUGUGUGGGAAAGAGUCUGUGCUUGCUACGUGGUUGGAGAAGCGCCCGUGGGCUACCCCCAUGCCCUGAUAUUCCAAAGAUGGGCCCAGACUUUCCCAGGGACAGUUAUCUGUGCUGAGCAGGAGGCUCUGGAUCUGUGGUGUCCAGGGGACUCCGGCAACUGCUCGGCUUUUUUUGGGUCCCACCCUUUGCUGGCUGUUUGACUGCAGGCAAGGGACUUAGUCACCAGGGAACCUACUUUUCUCAUCUGUAAAUGAGGAUAAUGAGCCCUGACUCUUGCCUUCCUCUCAGGUAGGGCAGGAAAGCUUCCUGAGAGCACCCCAUGGGGCCUUUUGAUGUGCUUAAAAGAAUCCUCCUUAAUUGCCUGGCCAGGCACUGAGCAGCUGGGCGAAAGUUUUAUGACCCAAGAUUCCCACAGCGCAUCAUCUACCGGCUCCAGAAGCCCUCAGAGGGUCUCAGCGAUGGAUUCCGCGGGCAAAGCUUCUGCCAGUCCAUCAGCAGAGAUCUCUCAGAGCCUGAGUCACCUAAUAGGUGGCUUCCCGGGGGUGCUUUGGCCAGGGCCACAUGUAUUUAUGUGGUAUUUUCUGAGAGUUCCUAUGAGCACAUGGCAAUUUCUCCCUCCUCCUGGAACCCGUCCAUAGCAGUCAUUUCUAGAGCUGUGAACUACUGCUGACCUUUGUCACUUCUGUGACAAGCUGGAUGUGCCUUGUCCCUCUGGGUCCGGUGUUUGGAAGGAUGAAGUGAGCAUUGGGCUUGGUACCAGCAUGAAGCUUUCUGAAGAGUCUCUGCCUCCGGCCUGCCUGGCUGUCCAUGCUCACCACACUGCGGUCUGGCCAACAGAACACACUGCUUCCUCCUGGGAACCACCAGAGUCCCUGCAUGGUCCACAGGAGGAAAGUUGAACAAGUAACUCGGCCUCCCAACCUUGGCCCCCAACUCAAAGUCUGGUUGCAAGUUUGCUUCUCUUCCUUUCCCAUCUUCUGUAAUGUAGACAAUCCUUUCACUUAAGUUUGUUGUCACCUCCUGUGUGCCAAGUACUAUGGUAAGCUGUGUUCAGCUCUGGGCAAUGAGAUAUCGUUCCUGCUCCCAGACAGGCAUGGCUUCUGAUAAGGGCCAUGCUGCGCGAGAGGGUGGGUCUGCAGGGGUCCGCCUGGGGAGAGGGUAGGAAGCCCAGCAACCAAGGAUGAUUAGGAUGCAGCGUGACAAAGAGCCAGCGGUGGGAGUGGGAGUGGAAAUCACGGCCGGAAUGUUCCAGCAAGAAGGGCGUAGAUAUGAGAGGGGCCUGGGAAGUGGGGAUUGGUGGCACCUUAUGGCUUGGGAAGAGGCUCGGGUCCUGAGCACCCUGGUGAGCCAUGCUAAGAGGCCUGGACUUUAUUCUGAAGGAAAACCAAUCCUGAGCUGGGACUCGACGUGGCUACCAUGUCCUGGAUUGGCUCCUGGCCAGGAGCUCUGGAACGCCUAGGCCUCUGCCAGAGAGAGCCUUUCUUUCUGAACACUCCAGAGUCUAUUUGUUGUAGGUUACCUUUUAUCACAUUCUGCCUCUACUUUCUAUUUGCCACGUUUGUCUGUCUCCUUAGGACACUUUCCUCUGGUUCUCACAGCACUUAGCACGCAGUGCUUUGAGCCCCACCCCCUUCCGGCUCCAUUCCCACUGCUCAUUAGUUGUGUGAUCUUGACAAGUCACUUUAUCUCUGAGACCUUGAGUUGUCUCAUCUAUAAAAUGGGAGCAAUGAUAUUUAUUGCAUAGGAUAAUUGUGCGGAUUAAGUCAAGUACCCAGUUAACACCCAAUAAACGUUCCUUGCUUUCCUCCUUCCUUUGGUCUCUGGCUCAGAGAGAUUGCUGCAACACGGGGCAGAGCAUCUCUGAGGGAGGGAUACUCACUUUUCCCAUGGGCCCAGGGAAGUGUUGGAUGCAUGAACAAGAUCCCAUCUGCACUGGCUUGCUGAGUACCAGGCAGAAGGCGGAAGACAAACACCAUUGCACGGAGUCUUGGCUAACACCGGCAGCUGUUGCCACCCAUUCUAAUCUGAUCAGUUCUUUGACAUCUUCUGUGCAAUCCUCAUGUUAAUGUAAACAAAGAGAAAAUGUUGAAAGUAAUUUGCAAAACACAAAAUUACAGGAUGUGAGUCUUCUUGUAUAGGAUUAUGCCUUCAACAAAGUUGUGCUCCCAGGGAGAAGAGAAACUGUCAUCUGCCAAUGAGUGUUCCCCCUUUUCUACCUGGCUGCUGCUUGGCCUGUGCACAGAAUACAGACCAUGAGUACAAGAGUCUUUGUCACAGUGACGACCACCCUUAUCAUCACCAUCGUCACCCACAGUGCCUUCUCCUGCUCCCUGGCCUCCUCUUCCUUAUUGUUGACAUUUGGAUGGGGUGCAGGACAGAUCCCCACCUCCUUGUCCCUCAGGCCAUUCUGUAUAAUCUGCAUGCAUCUGACAGACCGCUGCACAGCACUCCUAGAUACCCCACUCUUACGGAAACUUCAGGAGGCAGCAGAGCAAUCAUCUUCAUCCUAACUGACGAGGAAUCAGAGGUACAGAGAAGGUGGGCAACCUGAAGGAGGGCCAAGGACUUGAGUGGAGCAUUUGCAGGCUGGGGCAGAGACUCACGUUGUCUGCAACCUGAAAAGAGUUUCAGGUUGUUUGAAGCAAGAGGGCAGCCUUGUUUCUGGGCACCCAGCCCCGGUUUCCUGUUGAUAUAGGGUCACCAUGAAGUUGAAAGAAUCUUUUCAGCACCUGUGGAAGUCAGUUUCUUUUUCUACCUUCCUUCUAUUCUUGGAACUCCCACUGUGUGCCUGGAACAUAAAAGUGUUUGUUGCAUGAAUAAAGAUUGAAGGAGAACAUGAAGAAUAA
rnacentral:lncRNA from 1 species